CUGUAGCGCGCGGGGCGCUCCGUGCAGGGUGCCCGCGUCCCGGGCCCACAGUCCUCCCGCGCCGCGGGGCGCCGGGCUGGCCCACAGACCUCGCGCGGGACGGGGGCACCUGGCUGGGGGCUGCUCUGAGCUCUUCUUCGCCGCAGAAAACCCGCUCCGGUAUUUUUCUGUACGUGAAAAGAGAGCCACGACCCAGAGCUGGCCCUUUCUCGGGCCGCCUGGGAGGGUGAGGAGCCCGCCCGGCUCUGUGCAGAGGGACUGGCCCUGGCCGUGACUCCUUCCCCGUCCUCAGGCUGUGACGAGGGCAGGGUGCUCAGCAUUUUGAACACUACACAACCAAUGUUGCUAUUUCCUUAGAGACAAAUUCUGGAAAACUGCUUGCUCCAUUUGAAAAUGUCUGGCUGCUGCCAUGAUUUGAUUGUAACCUGUGAGAUCAAGCUGUACUGCUUGGUACAAGAAAUCCAUCAACAUAAUUUUGUAAAUUUGCCAGUCGAAUGGUAUUUCACCAUAUCAUAUACAUUUACAUAAUUUAAGAUUUGCCAAUCGUAUGUAUGGCCUUUUGGAUGAACAGAUUAGCAUUCAAGCAAUACUAAAGUACUUUUGCAGAUAUGAAUCUUAACCUGAUUCCUGAAUUAAUUAUCUGUAUGCUUAAAAAAAAGUUGAAAAAAUAAUAUUCAGGUUGCAAAUCAAGCACUCAAAAAAAUCGGAAAUGCCUGAACAAAAGUUGUACGUGCAAGGCAAUUUUUCAGGAAACUAGUCUCCUUGGCUUUUACAUGGCGAUAAGCAGUGCUACCUAAUUGGUCUCUAAUUUGGUUCUUAAGAGAGUCUGUCUAGCAGUUCAGUGUCUGUCAUGGGUGAUCUUGUUGUAUUAUGGUGAAAAUGUUAUCAUCAACUAUGUUGUUACAUUUCUUGGUAAAUGUUCAUACUGCAUUGGUCUUUUAAUCCAAUGUCCAUAUCAAGAAAACCAUCAAAACCAAACCAUUGCUGAUGUUGGCAAUUGUUGGAUUUGGUUACAAAAAUAACCAUGUUGCUGAUAUUUUUCUGUCACACAGGGCUCCUGUCUUUUUCAGUGCACAAAAUGGUUAAUACUUAUAUUAUGCUUUACUUUGUUUGUAUAUGUAUGCUUCCAUGCCUUACCUACUGGAGACUCUUCAACCCCUGCUCUGAACACUUCAUUUCCGAAUGUGCUUUUGCUAUAGUUCUGACUGCUGUGGUAUCUGAAUAUCUUAGAAACAUUCAUAACACCUUAUGAGAUGGAGAAAUGUUAUUCCUUCUUUAUGGAUCGACUCAGAAAGGCUUAGGUCAAAAUUAUAUACUAAUUCUGGGCUCCAUUGUGAGGUGUUGUGGCAGAGGGGGUAAUGUGCCUUCAUAUGGUUCCAGAGUUGUGAAUCUGAGCCCUGCUCCUGACGUGUGUCAAAUUUUUCCAUUGAGAAAUGCUGACACAAACCAGUUAGAACUGUUUGUAGUUUUAUGCAGAGGUUCAUAUUAAGUAAUGCUGCUCAGUCGGACAGUGAACAAAAUCGAUCUGUAUUUGGCUCUGAGUGAUUACUGAAUAACGCACAUCCUUCACACUGAAUGUGGCAGGGUCUCACAGAAAAGUAUGAUUGUGUCUGUGAUCCUGUCGUUAAAGACUGUAUUGUAAUACAUAUGCACAUCCAGCCUUAAUUAAAAUUGCUGCUGGUAUUGAAAUCUUAACAAUGUUCUUUUAACAUAGUUUGUUAUGUGUUAUUUAGAUAUUUGGGAUUUUUUUAAGUAACCUGAAGCAUCAUGUUGGCACCCACCUUUAGAGCUUAAAGCUUAAGACCUUUAGAGUCAGUGGAUAGACCUCUUGUCAAAAAUUAACUGCUCUUUACAGCAAUAAUAUGCUUCUUGUAAAAUACCGAUUAAUACUGAAGACCCAGUAUUUCAGAUAUGGUCAGAGAAGUGCAAUUACACAGCAGUUGCAUCAUCCGCUUUGCUUUGUUUUCUGUGUUUACAAAUUAGAAAGAAACAGAAUCCUUAUCGUUUCUGAAGGUGAGAGGCAUCUCAAACUCCAGCAGCAUAUACAGAUGGAGAAAUGAUACAGAGUAGACACUUUUACCAUAUUGCCAACCCCCAGCCAUUCCAGUAUUGUGAGUCAGGCCUCCAACAUUAUGAAGUUGGCUUAAAAAUAACAAUAUUUAAGAAGGAAAAAUCUAAAGGCUUCCCUGGUUGCUAGAGAUUGCUGAGAGCAGCAGAGUGUGCAGCUGACUAGCUGGCUACUGCAAAGGACUACACUGCCUCCCCCACACCCAGGAGCUCCCAGUCACAAUAACUCCUCCCUCCCUGCUUGGAGGCUUCCAAAGCAGAGAUUCAGAGCAUGUUUGCACAUCAGUUUCUGUUCCUGCACCCCACCAAGAAUCUGCCCCUCUUGCAGGAGCUGAUGGACCCAAAAGCUGGGCCUCUAUUUCACUGUCACCCUGCAUGCAUCUCAUCAGAGACUUAGGGACAUUUCCUCCUGCACAGGACUUAGAAGCCUGACCUCCCACAUGGGGCCGCUUCCCAGAUCCUAUGAGCACCAAGCCUCCUGGAUACUGCUGCUGACUUCUACGCCAACGAAGCGAAGUUCUUCUUCCUGGCCAAUGAAGAUGAGGCCCUACUGGAUAUCAUGCAGUUCUGGGUGCUUUGGGAUUGCCUCUUGUGUCAAAUGAUACUGCAGGGCCUGGGAGAUCAGCAGUGAUUGGUAAGAGUGGAUCAUCAUGCACACCUUGGGUGAUGAGCAGUGGUUGCAGAACAUCUGCAUGUGCCAGGCUACUUGCAUGGACAUCAUCACCAGACUGAUCUGGUACAUAGGGUAGGAGGACAUAUGCAUAAGGCGACUGCUGACUCCAGUGAAGUGCAUUGCUGUCAGCAUCUUGACACUCACAAACCCCAACAGACUCUACUUCAUUGCCAACCACUUUGACAUGGGCAAGUCCCUGGCUGGAGUGCUGGUGUGGGAGGUAUGCCCAGGGCAUCCAGGAUGUGCUAAUGAGCCAUGUCAUCCAACUCAGCAACCUGCACAAGGUCAUUACCAGCUUCCUCUGGAUGGGAAUUACAAAUAAUGGAUUAGAAUGUGUUGCACAAACAUAAACUGAGCAUUUAGGAUGGAUGUUAGUCCAUGGUGUUUUUGUAUUAAUUCUUCUUCAAAAAAACAUCCAGAGAUGUUUGAAAAAGAGUUUCAGUCACUAAGCUUAAUGGCACUAGAAGUGUAAGAAAACAUUCAAUUCUGAGAGAAAACAAUAAGAAUCUAGCCUAGCAGCAUCCAGCAAAUGAUAAAGUGAAAAUAUCUUUUAAAUAACAAUUGAGAACCAAAUACCCUGACUGUGGGCCUGGAGGAAUGCCUGAAAUGUAGGUCCGUAUAAAUGAAGAUUAGAAACAAAAUGUCCACUUCAUUAAGCUCUUAAAAUUACAUAGAUUAAAGGUUGUUUUCCAUUGUGUAUCUGAAGGUCAGGGUUCCCUGAGGCUGGUGUUCUUUUUACAAGUAAUAUAUGCAACAGUGAGAUACUUGGCUUUACACGAACAUCUGACUGUGCAUUUAUAUGCAUGCAGCACACUACAGUUAAUUGAAAUGAGCUGCAAAGAUUUCCUGCAUGACUUGGUUGACUGAAGAAACCCUUCACAUAAAAAACAGUGGCUUGAGCUAUUGAUCCACAGUUCAUAAGUGCACGGCUCCAAUGUACAGAGAUGGAUUCAAUCUGUGAAGUUAAACCUAAGAUCAGUGAAGUUAAGUCAAACAUGUCUUUCUUGAUUGCCUUAAUAA